UGAAUUCUUGAUGAGGUCUAUCCAGUCUUGCCAAUCAAUCAAGUGAAAAAUGAUUUUUCUUGAAGAUGCUUGAGGUACUGCUGCUUGGAGGAAUAGCAGCUUGAAGGUUUGUGCCACAUUGUUUCCACAUUCUUGACUUUUUAGUGAAAUCUUAUUUGGUAUGAACUACCAUUGCCAUAUUAUAUAUCAUCAUCCAUAUGAAGCUUAACUGUCAUUAUUUGAUUAAGGUCUUCAUCUAGUGACCAUGAUAAAGUACAUUCUAACACUCGGCAACCUCAUAGUGUGUGUUGGAAGUUCAAAAAUACUCUGGUCAAGAUCAUCAAGCAGCCUCUAGAGAGAAUAUUCUGUAAAGGACUCAUAUUAUGCACCUAACAAAACAGUAAGCAUAUAGAUGCAAGAAACUUCACAAAAAUGUCUCACAUCCAAACUGAACGAAAACAAUCAACAUUACCCUGCUGAAUUUUGCUAAUUAUGUAAACUGAAAUGUCUGCGGAAUGCGACCAGUUAAUUUAUUAUAGGACAAUCUUAACAAAGUGAGUGAUGACAACAUCCCAAAAAAAUCAGGAACUUGCCCAACUAUAUUGCAACUUGAACAAGAAAAAUUCACCAACUGCGAAGACUCCGGUAGAUCACUAGGUAUGGACCAUCCACUGGUUAAAGGGAUUAUUAUCCAACGUUUCCAUUGAGUUUGUUGUUCUGAAGUCCAAGAUUCUGAAGCUUAUCCAACUGAUUAAAUUCUGAGGCAAAGGUCCCUGUAGACCAAGUCCCUUAACCUGAAUCUGUGUUACUCUGCCGUUUUGUGAAUAUAACAACUAACAAGUUUUUAUAACUAAUGCAAUAACCAAUGAAUAUCUGAAAUGUUAAUUUUAAGAUCCAAAUUUUCUGAAUAAAGGAAAUAUGAUUAUGUCCUGGAGCUAUACAUCUCUAUUAAUUCUAGUUAUAAUUGUAAAUUUAGCUUUUAUUUGGGUUGUCAUUAACUGCGUAGAAAUGGCAUUUUUAUUGUUAUCUUUUCAAAAAAUUUGAAUUUAACAUCAUAAUCCAUACCUUGCACUCUUUAAGAGCUUAAUAUUGGUAAAGAACAAUGAACUCGCAAUACGUCAUCAGUAAAAUUCUCAAGGAAUAAUCUUACUGUCAACCUCACAUUUCUUCUUCCAAUACACACUAUGAGUUCCAAGCUAGAUGAUCUUGAUCAGAGUAUUUUUGGAUUAUAAUAUGUUAUAUGGAUGGCUGGAAAUAGCAUGGAAUUAUAACCAAUAAUUUUUUUUUCUAGAAAGCCGUAGGUAGGCUUAUAAAAGGGUAGAAUAGCAUAAAAUUAAUGAUUGGAUGAUAGCAUUAAAAAGAAAAAAAAGCCAUGAAUAAUUGUCUUUAUCUGUGAAGGAAUUCGGUCUUGAAUCACAAUAAGAAGCAGGCCACCAGAUAGAGAAUUCCAAGUAAAGAAGCAUUCUCAAAAUUUCCAAAUAAUUGCUCAAACGCUUCCUGGUGAAUGUUGAUGUAGAGCAUCACAUGAAUUAAAAUUUCUCGAAAACAGAAGAGAUGGUGGCCAACGUGUAUGAACCUAUGUUCUAGAAUAAUUUAUGUUAUGCGAAAGCUAACAUUGUUAAUUAUUAUAGAAAAAGUUCAACAUAAGGGCCAGACUUUUAACAUUGCCUAUAAGGGACAAAGAGUGGCUGCACUUAUCAAGGUGAUCAUCUAAGAUUAAUCUUGCAAAUCUAAUUAUGAAAAAAAAAAGAGCUUAAUGUAUAAUGAUAAUAAAUUUUAACUUGCAGAUUUUCAGAACAAUAUAGAGCUAGAGCACAUAAUUUUGUUGAUUGAGCUACUGAAAACAGUAAUUCAAAUAUGAUAGUAGGCCCUUGUGUUAAGUGUAGGAAUCUAAUGCAUCACCAUUAUGAUAUAAUCUACAAACACUUGGUUCUUAAGGGUAUGGAUCUUGCAUACAACGUUUGGAUAUAUCAUGGAGAACAGCCAAAUGAAUCAAAUCUGGUCAAUGUAGAGAUGCCCGAGUCACGUAGGAUGUUUAAGGACUUCUACGCACAAUAUGAUGUAGAUUUUGAAAACCCUCCUAAUGAAGGAGAGAAAGAGCUUGAAAGUUUAGUUGAUGAUGUUGAAACUCCUUUAUAUCCAAAUUGCAAGGCGUUUACGAAAAUGUGAGCUUCUGUUGCUAUGUUCAAGCGUAAAGCUUCACAUGGUUUAUCAGACAGUGGUUUCGAUGAACUCAUAAAUCUUGUUCGAGACAUGCUGCUCGAGAAUAAUACACUUCUAAGCUCAUUUUAUGAGAUAAAAAAACUUGUCAAUACAUUUGAUCUUAGCUAUAAGAAGAUACAUGCUUGCUAUAAUGAUUGUUGUCUAUAUAGAAAAUAGCUUGAACGUGUCGAGAUAUGUCCAAAAUGUGGUUGUCGAAGAUGGAAAGUUAACAAACGGACGAAAAAAAUGGAGAAAAAAGUUCCAGCAAAAGUGUUACGUUAUUCUCCUAUAAUACCAAAACUUAAGAAAUUGUUUGGAAUAGAUGAGAUGACAACACAACUUAGAUGGCACGCAAGUAAUAAAAGUUCAAAUGACAAAAUUAGGCAUCCAGUUGAUUUUGCAUCAGAUUCUCGAAAUAUUAGUUAUAAGUGUGUUUUUACACACUUAUUAGGCACUUUAAUGGGCUAUUUAUUGAUGAAAUUAAAUGAAUUCCUAUUCAUAAUUGUGCAAUUAUGGUGUUUGUAGGCCAAAAUCUGAAAUUGGAUGAGAAAAUGGCUAAAGGAAGGAAAAGAGGACCAAAAGUGCACAAAGACAUGAAUCUAGUGACCAAAGUGUACAAGUGUUGAAAGUUUAAUGAUCAAAUGUUGCAAAUUUUGGAGGGUGUGAUUGAAAGAAAAUUAAAAUUUUGAGGAUUAAAAUGUACAAGUUCAAAGUUGAGGGAUCUAGUGUGCAAAUAUGGGGGAGGACUGAGCUACAAAUAAUGAAAAAUGGGAUGUGGUAUCGUAACAGCGCCACUGUAGCGACGCUACGACGCCACGCCUCUGUCUAUCAUAGCGCUGCAGCAUCGUUUUCAGAGCACCACGGCUAAGGACCUGUUUGCCUAUAUUUUUGUAGUUAGGGAUCAUUUUGCAGUUACAAAACGCGAUUUUUGAGUCAUUUAAAAGGCAAAAUUGAAUUAUUUUUAUCUCAUUCUUCAUCUUAAACAAACCCUAGCCUCGAGGAGAUAAAGAAGAAAGGGAGAAAGGAGAAGAUUCAAACCAAGAUUUUGGAGUUAAAGAGAAUAAUCAAGAUUUCAACCCUAUUUUUAUUCAAGAAAACAUUUAAGGGAAGGGUUUCUUCUUUUAUUUUGUAUCUUUUUAUUAGCUCCUUCAUUUUGUAAUGGAUUUCAUUACAUUCUCCAUGUUUUAUCUUUACUUGAUAAUGGGCUAAGGGUUUAUAGUUGGGAUUUAUGAUGUAACUUGACAUAAGUUUCAUUAAUAUCAAUAUAUUUACCAUUUAAUGCUAAGGUGUCUCAUAAGUGUGUUUUUGCACACUUAUUUAGAUCACUAACAUGACUUAAUUACAAGCAAAAUAUUUAAAUUAUGGUUUAAUCUCGUUGAAUUCAUGCAAUGUAGGUGUUUCUAUGGAAAUUGUGGAAUUCAAGAGAAAAGAGCCGAAAAAGGACCAAAAUGAAUCAAACUGAAAGCUCGAGGACCAAGUUGCAAAUAAUCCAUAGAUGAGACGGGAAAUGGAAUGAAGAUUCAAGAGUGUUAGAGGUCAACCGGAUGAGAAAAGGAGUCAAGAGGUGAAAUAUGAUCGAAGUAUUAUCAAGUAUCAGCUUUUAGGCGAAAAGUGAUUUUUAGUCUCUACUUGAGAUCCAUUUUUGUCAUAGUAAACAUCAAAAUUUGAGAAGACCAUUUUUAUUAAAAGUGUAUCUUUGAGUUUUCUUCCCAAUGCAAUUUGAAUCACUUCAAUCGGAGAUCAGGAGAAAAAGUUAUGACCAAAAUGCUAAAAGCAGUCCGACGAAAAAAAUCGCAUCUGUCGCAUAGUAUAAAUUCUAUGCAGUCGCAUAGAAGCCUCCCGAGAAUUUUUUCUCAAAUUUUUUUUUACUCUAUGCGACAGCAUAGAAAUUUACUAUGCAGUCGCAUAGAACAAUUUCGGGCAGAUUCUACAGUUUCCUUAUACGACUAAAACUCUUUUGGUAACCUAAUUUCCACGCGAUAUAAAUACCAAAAGAUGUCCAGAAAGAGGAAAACGUAUUGAAAGGGGGAAUAUACACAAUUUUGGAGGAUUUGGAGAGGAAGAAUAAGGCAAAAACAAGACAAUCCACUUCAAGAUUCAAAAUUUCACUUCAAGAAUCAAUUGAGUGAUGUUCUUCCUUGGUUUUAAUUAUUGUUUUUCUUUAUUUCCCAUUAUGUUAAACUAGCUUUUCAUGUGCUAGUAUUUGCGAUGAGCCUUAUAUUAUGAUAAUCUUGAAUUUUAUUAAUUUGACGUUAAAACAUGUUUUUAAUUAUUGACUGAUUGACAUGGAUUUUAUUUUCUCUACAAUUAUGUGAGCAAUAGUUGUAUGAGCUUUGUGACUUGUUUUACCCUCGAGAGAUGAAAAAUAAGUUAGACAUUAUGUUAAUUGUCGUAAAGUUCAAUAGGGGAUAGAAAUAUACCGCUAUGCUUUACGUGAUCUUUAAGUAUUCAUAAAUUUUUAAUGUAUUUUUAUAUGUUCGCAUCCGUCAUAGAAAUAUAAUGAGAUCGCAUGUGAAAAUAGGUUUAAUUCUACUCGAAAGAGAUUGUUAAACAAAUUAGGAAUAUUGGUCUUCAUAAUUGAAUCGUGUUGUCAAUUUUAUAAAAUUCGGAUUAAAGGGGAUUGACAUAAGGGGAUUCGGGAUCCUAGUAUGCAUUUCGUUAUCACAUUUUUAUAAAACUUGCAUUUAGUUUUUAUCACGCAUUUAAUCUAGUUAAUUUAGGCUUUGUAUUUAUAAGUAGGUUAUUAAAUCAUAAUUUAGUUAACGAAAAAUAUCAAGAAUUUCUAUUGUUUUGGUUAAGACAACGAUAGGUAAAAUUGAACUAAUCAAUCUCUGUGGGAUGAUAUUCGGACUCAUUUAAUCCACUUUAUUAUUUGUUAACGAACUGUACACUUGUGGUAGUUUAAAAUCGAAAGAAAUAAUCUCGCGAACAAGUUUUUAGCGCCGUUGCCGGGGAUUGAGUUUAGUUUAAUUUUAUUUCUCGAGACACUAAUUCGAACUUCAAUUUUUAUUUUGCUAGUAUAAUUUUGUUUUUAUUUUUUACUUUAGGUUAUUAUUCUUUAUUUGAGUUUUAGUUAUUUAAAUUGUUUGAAUCUCAGUGCUCGUACUGGUUUUAUUUCUCAGAUUUGCAUGCCACGAUCGACUGGAGGAGAAUUGAUUCCAGCUGAUCCUGAAAUCGAGCGCACCUUUCAUCGACUACAAAGAGAUCACCGAGAAGCACAAGUACAAAUGGCUAACGAACUAAACAAUCCCAUUAUUCAAGCUAAUGAAGGAGAGGCAAUGGACGAAGGAAAUGAGAUUCUGGGAGACUUCUUGACUCCUCAAGUAGUCCAAAGUUAAUCUAGCAUUGUGUAUCCUCCAUUUGGGCUACCGAACUUCCAGCUGAAAACAAAUGUGAUCCAACUAUUUCAGAAUGGGCAUCAAUACCAUGGGAUGGCUAGUGAGAACCCACAUACACACAUAUCUCGAUUUCUGGAUAUGUGCCAACACUUUAGGUACUAGGGUAUCUCGGACGAUGCUAUAAGACUGCGGUUGUUUCCACACACCUAGCGGGAUAAGGCAAUUGAAUGGCUGGAUUCGCUUCCCGUCGCAAGUAUCACCACUUGGAACGAGCUAGCCCACGAAUUCUAAACCAAGUUCUUCUCGCCAGCUAAGGUAGCCAAAAUGCGGCAUGAUAUCUCUUUAUUCAACCAAUGUGCGUCCGAAUCAUUUGAAGAGGCAUGGAAUCGUUUCAAAAAUAUGUUAAGGAAGUGUCAUCAACAUGGUUUUGACAAGAAGACACAGAUUCGAUUUUUCUACACUGGACUACUUUCAUCCUUCAAGAGCAUGGUGGAUUCAUCAUCUGACGAGUCUAUCUCCACAAGAACAAUUGACGGAGCAUGGGAGCUAUUUGAGAGAAUGGCUACAGCUUCAGCCAUGUGGUCUAUAGAUCGAGUGGUUCAGAAGAGAACGCUGGGGGUUUAUGAAAUAGAUACUUAUUCAGCACUGUUUGCAAAGAUAGACUCUUUGUUCCAUAAGGUUGAGAGCAUUUCACAGACCGCCACUACUAAACAAGUCAAGAAGCCAAGCUGUGAAGAAUGUAGAGCAAACCACAACACUGUUAAUUGUCCAAUUCUCGCACAGGGAGUCGAACAUGUAGAUUUUGUGCAAUGGGGUCAACGCCAACAGAACAACCCACAUUCGGAAACCUUCAAUCGGGGUUGGAGAAAACACUCAAACUUCUCGUGGAGUAAUCAGAAUCAAAACAGACCACAAGGUCAAUAUCAGCAGCACGAUAAAAAGCCACCAUUGGAAGAGAUGUUCGAGAAAUUCAUGGCAACAACCAAUUAGUAUAUGGCAGCAAACAACCAGUUUAUGCGAAAGAUAGAUGCAACUCUUCAAGACCAAAGUGCAGCAAUAAAAAAUUUGGAGAUACAAAUGGGAUAGAUGGCAAUCUCCAUGACAGGAAGAGCACCAAGAAACUUACCCAUCAACACUGAAAUCAACCCUAAGGAGCAAGCCAAGGCUAUUACAACUCGAAGUGGAGUACAAUUACCUAAAAUCCAUGUCAAGAGAUCAGGUGUGAUUGGAGAGACAUUUUCCCUUGCUGAAGACGAAACUGUUGUAAAGGAAUCAACGUCAAAGGAAAAUUUAGAAAAGCCACGGGAUAAGGUCAAAGUCACAAUCAAUCCAUAUGAGCCUCCGAUUCCCUUUCCACAGCAGUUGAAGAAGCAAAAAUUGGAGCAACAGUAUAAAAAAUUCCUAGAAGUCUUCAAAAAGCUCCAUAUCAACAUCCCACUAGCCGAUGCACUAUUCCAGAUGCCUAGCUACGCGAAGUUUCUCAAAGAUAUUAUAUCAAACAAACAUAAACUGGAGGACCAUGAGACUGUAAUGCUUACGGAGGAAUGUAGUGCCAGAAUUCAAAAAAAGCUCCCUCCAAAAUUGAAAGAUCCAGGGAGUUUCACUGUCCCUUGCACAAUUGGUGAUUUUUAUUUUGAUAAAGCAUUGUGUGAUUUCGGUGUGAGUAUUAACUUGAUGCCACUCUCUAUUUUCAGGAAACUAGGAUUGGGAGAGUCUAAGGCAACCACAGUAACUCUAAAGCUAGCUGAUCGAUCACUUACACAUCCACGAGGGAUUAUUGUAGAUGUAUUGGUUAAAGUGGAUAAACUCAUAUUCCCAGUAGACUUCUUGAUUUUGGAUAUGGAAGAAGACGAACAUUCCUAUCAUAUUGGGACCACCAUUUUUGGCUACAGCAAGAGCCCUCAUAGAUGUGAAAGAACCUGAAAGCUGUUUCCAGAUUGAAGUGCUUGACAUAGGAAUCCCCUAUAAUUUUGAGUUGAAGAAACAACCAAACAUUCAUGAGGCCUGUAUAGUAUACUCUCCAUCCAUUCUUAUCAAUUCAAAGGAGAUUAAGGCAUUCAAUAUGGGAUUUCAUACGGAUGAGGAGAGAAUGUCAAAUCACUUGGAGAAAGACAGGGAUGAAAUUCGGAGGAUAACUGCAGUGCGGAACAAGACCAUAAUGAGCAAACUAUGCAGGACCUCCCAAGCCAUAUUUAAAGUGCCAUAAAAUACUUGUGCCAAAAUUCGACCUAUCGACUAUAAAAUAAUGCUGAUUGGGAGGCAACCCAACGUCUCUAUACUUUAUUUAUUUCAUUUUGCAUUAGUCUAGGAGUUUUUCAAUUUUUCAACAUUUUUAUUAGUUUAGGUCAUCAUUCAUCCAUGCAUGUCAAUAAAUAGCCUAAACACAAUCCACACGAGUCCCAAUCCAUUGAGUAAGAGUCAUAAGGUUGAGUCCUGUUUUAGUCAGUCAUGGGUCAAAUUGAACAAAGUGCAUGAUUAUAGCUAAACUUUGUUGGUGAUUCACAUUUUUGUGAUAUGAACUUUAUAUUUAGAUAUAAUUUAUACAUCUUACACGCCAACAGUGUACACAUGCACCUUAAAAUAAGUUUGGGGGAAUGGUGCAUCACAUGGAUUUUUUCAUGCACACCCAAGUUUAUCAAUUAUCACCAUAAGAUAUAAUACACAUACUUUGCACUUUCGUAGGAUGUUGCCAAAAAGACCUCAACAGGAAAAGAGAAGGUCGGCUCCACAUAUGAUGCUGUAGGAUCCAACAUUCCAUCACAGCCACCAUUUUGAUCAGGGGAGUAUCGUUUACUCCAUUUUGAUUUUUCUUCUUCAUUUUGUCCUUAAAAUUAUGUCUUUAAUUUUUUGUUAAUCUUACAUUGAGGACAAUGUAUUAACUAAGUUUGGGGAGG
rnacentral:lncRNA from 1 species